GGCAUGGCACGGACUGGAUUUUUUCUAGGUUAGGGCUGGGUUGGGGAACGCCGAGAUUUUAGAGAGGGGGCAUCGGAGCGGUGGCUACACGGGAUCGCCGAUCUCGAGGGCGGCGCGGGCGGCAGCGGCAGCGGCGGGUGGGGGUUUGGGGGUGCGGAGAGGGAGCGGCGGCUGCGGCUUCGGAGUGGGGGGUUUGGGGCGUUUGGGGCGACGUGAGUGCGGGGGGUUUGGGAGCGCGGAGUGGUGCGCGCAGCGGCGUCCGCGCAGAGCAGCGACGGUAGCGGCAGCCCCGAGGUGGAGUAGCGACGAGGGGACCGGACGGCAGAGGUGCCGACCCCAAAACUCUAGGCGGCGACCGGUACCGCCCUCGUCUCCGACGGCGCCUAAGUAGCCCGGGCGCCAAGCGGGGACUGCUGGGCUGCGAGGGACGCGGAACCUUUCGUGAUUAGCUGCCGCUCUGCGAGAUGAUGACCUUGGGACUCUGGUUGGAGUGAGUCAUACUGUUCGGCCCACGCCGGCGCGGAGGGAACGGGCGCCGACGCGGGUGCGGUCGCGGGCCCCGAAAACGCGUCGGACCGUACGUCGUCGUUGUCGGGGGCGUCGUCGUCGUCGUCGUCGGCGUUGUCUGCCGUGUCGUUGGCGGCAAAGUCAUAGUUCCAGUCGUUCGUGUCGUUGGCGGCAAAGUCAUAGUUCCAGUCGUUCGUGUCGUUGGCGGCAAAGUCAUAGUUCCAGUCGUUCGUGUCGUUGGCGACAAAGUCAUAGUUGUCGUCGUUCUUGUCUACGGCUUGGUCGUUCCCAGUGUUGUCGGUCAUCGAGGAGUCAUGGGUUUGCGAGUAGUCGUCGGUUACGGUAUAGUCGUGCCAGUAAUAUACGUUGGGGUCGUCGUUAUAAGUAUAGUCCACCCGGUCGUCGGUGUUUACAGCGUUUGAGUCAUAUUAGUUCCGGUCGUCUACGGUUAGGGCGUUCGACGGUUAGUUCCAGUCGUCGGUUGCUACGGUGGUCCUCGAAUGUUAGUUCCAGUCGCAGGUGGCUACGGCGUUCGACGGAUGUCAGUACCGGUCGCGGGGGGAUACGGUGUUAGACGGAUGUUAGUUCCGGUCGUCGGUGUUUACGGCGUACGAAGAAUGUUAGUUCCAGUCGUCAACGUCCCUUGUUCCUACGGAGUCUGAGUUCACGUUGUGUGUGUUGUUAGUGGUCCGAAAGUAGUUGGACGGGUCCGAAGUGUUCCGAACGUUCGAAGUGUCGGAGUUCAUGGAGUUUACAGGGGGGUUGUCCCGGUUGAGGUCGUACCGAAGGUCAAGUGGGGAGUUGUCCCUUUUGUUGGUGUAGUACCAGUAGAACAGAGGGUUGUACCCGUUGUUUUAUGGUGCCACUUCCAACUACGUCCUCGAGUAGUACUUCCUUUCGUCUGACCGAAAAGGAAUGGCGAAUCAGUCGUCGUACCGGUUCAAGGAGAAAGUUUGGUCUGCAACGGAAGUUCAGUAGUUGCAGGACUUCGGGUAUUAGUUGAUUUAUAAGUACCUCAGCCUCCCGGUGGUAUAGGACGUUUCGUAGUAGAACCACCUAGUAGGGGUCCACUUUGAUUAUUGCAAUCAAAGAACUCGCGCGGACGAGUUUGUGUAGUUCCGCCUCACCUAUGAUUGAUGGUCGUUGUUGACCGAUCAUCGGUACAUCAAGGGUUAGUAUAACGAGGAAGUGGCCCAGCUGGAGGUUAUCCAAAGUUCUCCCCGUUAUCACUUCUAGUUAAACUUUUUUUACUCCGAGAGAGGAGACCCUCCAAACUACCUUAUUUACGAGAGGUAGUCGUCGGUUUUGGACGGCGAGAAGGUGGGGGUGUUUUAGUGGACGUCCUAUACUCCUUACCGGGUGGAAUAAGGGUCGGUCUAUUAAAACCCCCAAUAUUGUACCGUGGAGGUGUAAACCAUGUUUUGGGUGAAUUGUUACCAGGUAAAGGAUAGCCUCGAAAUCGCUCCGGUGGUAGGCCUUGUAAAAGAGGAGGACUAAAGGGUUCACAGCGAAGUCAUCUACGUAUAGCAGUUGUGGUACUUCAUUGACGUCACCCACUCUUACAAGGAGGAGGUAAAUACUGUAAACUCCGAUGACCUAAGGGGGGUCUCUAGGACUCACUCCAAGUACGACGACCGAAGAAUUUGGGGUGGGGUUAAGUCCGAGUUUGUACCGGACAACGUGAAGUUUCGUCCCUGUAUCAUCGAUAACGGUUCUGCCCUAGUCCCUUCUGUGACCCCAUGGAAUAAGGACGAAAACAUGUAGACUCCUCUACGGUUUUGUUAGGUUACAGCCCGGGAUGUCACAACCAAAACCGGGGAUGAGCACUCGAACGAAGUGUUUAUGUUCUACUUCGUUAAUUCAAACCAGCUAGUAGAUCUCAUAGUACGUGUACGGACAUACCACCUCGAGGUUUCCCUGGAGUCGAGUCUCUUGAACUCGCACCUCGUCUAUAACACCAUCGAUGUGGACCUGCUGAGUUACUAUAGGACCUUUACUCCUUCUAAUCGGAGGUAGUCUAAAGUAAUGAACACGAACUACUUCGACUGGCGUACGAACUGUACCCGAAACUCGGUGUUUAUGCCUUCUAACAACUGCUCUAAGGAGCAUUAUCUGUUUGAGACUACAUGUGACGGUGAACCGGUUUCCUCCAAUGUUUUUAUCGACCCCUAAAUAACUCUUUAGGACAGGUCUAGUUAUAACCAUCGUAACUACUUGAACAACGGUUGUUUAGGUAGUGUGUCAUACAUCUCUACCAAGGUGGGUACCUAUUCGUUGCAGCGAACCUCGUCUAAGAAUCUCGUCUUCUUUCCCCGAGUUUCUAGUAGUAUAAAACGAGUUGGUUCUUUUACACGCUAGUCGAACGAGCAUCGUAACCAGCAUCAAAACCACGACGUUCGUAAGUGCCGCUGUUUAGUGUCCCACUUUCCCUAGUAUAAGACCCAGUCAAAGCCUGACCAUAACACGGUCAUAAUCACCGGUGUCUACAACGACGAGCACCUGAACUGUAGUUUCUGUAGUCUCACCACUAGUUAAUACUGAAGGGUUGACCCUAGCUUCUGAUACACGUAGCGUAUCCCGCAUGUCCUUCCCGACCCCGAUGACCUCAACGUAUGUGAAAGAAGAGACUCGUUCUAACCUUUAUACGACGACUAAACCACUUUCAAAACCUACCAUGACCAGUCGUCCAUGGAGGUCUCGACGUUGUCUACCGACGUGCCCCACGUAGACCACGAGGUUCUUUGGUCCGACCACCGUACUCGGCAACCCUAUCAGGACCACCGCCAUCAGCAAAACUUAGACGACAACCGCCGGGACCAACAAUACCACCUUAAUCCCUCCCGGGACCUCCGAAACCACCAGCUCUACCCGGUCCACCUAAAUAACUAGCCCUACCGGGCCCGUCUAAACCACUAGCUCUACCGGGGCCGGCGAAACCACCAGCUCUCUGAGGACUGCCGAAACCACCAGCCCUACCGGGACCACCGAAGCUACCUGCCUACCCGGGACCAGGACCACCUAAACCACCUUCCCUCCCCGGACCACCUAAACCACCUUCCCUUCCAGGACCUGGGUCACCGAAGUCGCCCUCUCCCCCCGCACCCAGACUACCGAAACCGUCCUCUCCACCUCGUUCGGGACCAUCUAAACCACCAGUGCCACCGUCCCCACUAAGAGGACCAAAACCACCAGCACCAUCCCCACUAAGAAGACCAAAACCACCUGCUCCGGCCCCACUAAAGAGACCACCUGCACCACCUUCUCCCGCACCUAAACCUCCUGCCCCUGCAAGACUGGCUCCAGGUGUACUAGCAAAAUAGAGUCUACCUGCACCUUCCAUACUACCGGCAGCUCCUAAACUGUUCCCAGCUCCGUCCUCGAUGUCGGCAUCGGGUCUAUCUUCGGCGAGCGCUCCGAUACUGUCUUCUUCACUAUCGUCCUCGGAUUCAUCAUCCUCGUCUUCGGCAUCGUCUUCGACCAGUGCGUCGUCCUCGGCGUCGUCCUCAACCAGUGCCUCGGCGUCGGCAUCAGCGUCGUCCUCGUCUUCGGCACUAGUCCCAGGUCAUCUUGCGUCCGGCGCCCAUUCUAGACCAAAACUACACGACGGUGGACGUUGACUUCGACCUCGACGACAUUGACCCGGUGAAGGACAUGGUGAUGGACCAAGUCACAGACUACCAUGACGUGGGUAUGGAUCUGUUAGCGACCGCCUGCGUAGACUAUACAGUGGAUACAGCGGACCACCGAACCAGGUACAGGUCCUCCCACGUGGCAAGUACCCACCCUUGCUACGGUUGUAAUCGUCGUCUGUCCGACUGGUCGGAAGGGUUCGCUGACUAGAUCGUUAUGGUGACUCGAAGAGACGUUGACGUUUAAAAGGUCCCGGCCGUCAAGUCGUCCUACGGGGUACUACAUUGGACCACCACGCGUCUCCACCUGCUCAACCACGGAUACCGCCCUAUUCUGCGCCACCGCGGAUACCAGGCACUGUUGCCCGGUACGACUUUUGUGACUAUAUUAAUGUUUCCAACGGUUAGGCGCCUUGGUCGACAUAAGGACAAAAGGUUCUGAACGUGAGUACGUCCACGGACUAAUACGACGUGAGUACAAGGUAACAGUGUGUGGGUACAACCAGCCUACAAACAAACGAACAGGUCAUCACCACUAAACAAGAUACUACACAUUUAAAGGGGGAUUUCCGUCUACGUAUUAACGACAAUGUAAACCAAACAACACUUGGACGUUGACGACGGACAUACCAGAUAUCGAGUGAUAGAUGCGCAUAUUAUAAAGUAAACUGUAAAAAAUUUGGAGAAAGUUUCUUGUG
rnacentral:rRNA from 1 species